UUGAAAAGGGAGCCCUUCGGGGUUCAACCUUAAACCCUUUGACUUAUUACCUGUUUCUUUGACGGGCUUGCCCGUCAGAAGUUUUCUCAAACCCAUUCUAAACAUGUCGUCUGAAAACAUAAAUAAAACA
rnacentral:misc_RNA from 1 species